rnacentral:rRNA from 1 species
UGGAACCUGCCCGCCACAGGGGGAUAACCCGGGGAAACCCGGCCUAAUACCCCAUGCCGCCCGGACCGGGCAUCCGGACCGGGCGAAAGGAGGAAUCCGGUGGCGGCUGGGCAUGCGGCGCAUUAGCUUGACGGCGGGGUAACGGCCCACCGUGGCGACGAUGCGUAGGGGUUCUGAGAGGAAGGCCCCCCACACUGGAACUGAGACACGGUCCAGACUCCUACGGGAGGCAGCAGUGAGGAAUAUUGGUCAAUGGGCGGAAGCCUGAACCAGCCAAGUCGCGUGAGGGAAUAAGGCCCUACGGGUCGUAAACCUCUUUUGCCGGGGAGCAAGGGCCGGGACGAGUCCCGGUCCGGAGAGUACCCGGAGAAAAAGCAUCGGCUAACUCCGUGCCAGCAGCCGCGGUAAUACGGAGGAUGCGAGCGUUAUCCGGAUUUAUUGGGUUUAAAGGGUGCGUAGGCGGGCUUUUAAGUCAGCGGUAAAAAUUCGGGGCUCAACCCCGUCCGGCCGUUGAAACUGGGGGCCUUG